UACGUAGGGGGCAAGCGUUGUCCGGAUUUAUUGGGCGUAAAGAGCGUGUAGGCGGCUUUGCAAGUCCGUUGUGAAAACUCGAGGCUCAACCUCGAGACGCCGGUGGAAACUGCAAAGCUAGAGUCCGGAAGAGGAGAGUGGAAUUCCUGGUGUAGCGGUGAAAUGCGCAGAUAUCAGGAUGAACACCCGUGGCGAAGGCGGCUCUCUGGGACGGUACUGACGCUGAGACGCGAAAGCGUGGGGAGCAAACAGG
rnacentral:rRNA from 1 species